rnacentral:lncRNA from 1 species
CAUAAGCACUACAUUUUAGGGUUUCACUGGAAAAUAGGGUUUUGUAGUUUAUAAAUAGUUUUAGGGUGUUGAAAAAAAAAGAUGUGCUUAGAAGGCUUAGCUUAGUUGAGAAAUACAAGGGAAAGAAAAUGGUUAAAAAAAAAAAAACAACAACUUAGUAGUAGAGAAGAUACAAGAGGAAGAGAAAGGUAAUUUUUUUAGUGUAGUGUUUAUUGUUAUUUUUCAAUUUCAAUUUUUUAUUUUAUUUUAUUUUUGUUUAAGGAGGAGAGGAAGCAGCACCUAAAUUGUUAUUUAAAGGUAAAUUGAUUUUUGUAGUUAUUUGUUAAUAUUUUUUGUAAUUAAUUCUUUUUAGUACUAAAUAUUUGUUUGAUUUUGUAGUUUUAUUUAGCUUGAAGGUAC